rnacentral:rRNA from 1 species
UACGUAGGGUGCAAGCGUUGUCCGGAAUUAUUGGGCGUAAAGAGCUCGUAGGCGGUUUGUUGCGUCGGCUGUGAAAUCCCGAGGCUCAACCUCGGGUCUGCAGUCGAUACGAGCAAACUAGAGUGUUGCAGGGGAGACUGGAAUUCCUGGUGUAGCGGUGAAAUGCGCAGAUAUCAGGAGGAACACCGGUGGCGAAGGCGGGUCUCUGGGCCGAUAUUGACGCUGGAGGAGCGAAAGCGUGGGGAGCAAACAGG